GCGGACGCCUGACAUCGGCGAAGGAUUUAUCAGAGAAGUUUAAAGUUUGAGAUUUGUCAUCAAAGUUAUGAUGAAACGACGCGUAUGACUGCGGCGGCGGCGGCGUUUGAUCAGGGCUGUAAAGUAGCUGGGUCUUACUGUGUGUGUUGAGGGAUAAUGUGUCAUUACUGGAGGGAUGUGAGUCACUGGAACAAGCAGGCGCACACAUAAACCGAGAGAGCGGAGGGAGAACUGAACACUAAUCACGCUCUGACUCGGCUUGUUAAGGGUAUUUCCUCUCGCUCACUUCAACUCCCAGAGAGAUUAAAUCUCGCCAAAGCCGCUCCAAUCCUCCCCGCCGCACCGUGCCUGGAAGACAGAGAUCCUGGCACACACACACACACACACAGUUAACACACCAUUACCUUCAUGUACUGUAGGUGUACCUGGUCAUAAACCGAGCAUGCUCACUCUGAGUUUCCUGAAAGGGAACUAAAAGAGUCGGGGGGGGAGGGUUUUAAAGGUAGCACAUCAAAGCUGGAGGGUAUUUUACUUUGGAUAGAGAAUGAACACAUCAAACGACAGACCCCCGCUCCUCAUCAACCCCCCUGAACCCCCCCGCUCUACAUUGAGUUCUACUAAAAUUAAGGGGGUUGGGCACCAAAUCCAUAUAUCUGCUUCCUGACAGUUCAAAGAGCCGUGAUUUCAUAUCCAAUGAAAACACCCCGGAGAGCGCGGGUUCGUCUGCCCAUCCGCUCAUUAAACACUCCAUCCUCAAUUGGAGCAAUAUCACCAAAUUGGCGGGUGUGUUUCUGCUCGUGUUCAGCUGAGUGCAGGUGUGAUCAUCUGCAGAAGGAGCCAUGAAGGUGAUUUAUGCUCUUCUCUAGGAGUGAGGAGACACCUCGUGUAAUUAUCAUGUCAGAGAUUUUCCUGUAUGAGCUGUCAGUGAGGUGGGGGGGGGGGGGGGGUGUCUGUAGGUGAGCUCCAUGUUCAGUGUCUGGCUGUCCUCCAGAGAGUUGAUUUAGGUGGAUUAAGAUAAUCCCUACCUGCUCUGAGUCUGUCUCUGGAUGAUCUGGUCUACAGAGAGGCCACCCUCAGAUGGAAGUCCCCUUUAGAUACAAGAAAGGACCCUUUUCAGCAUAGGGUUAUAUGUAUAUAUAUGUGGGGUGCCGCAGCUCAAGGAAGAACAUUUAUGAUCAUUUCUUUAUCAUUUCCUUGAAGUAAUAAUCAUCAUAUUAAUCAUUUUACAGACGCGGUAGUUCUUCUGUCUUAGUGUCUCGGUCUGAUUGUAUUUCUAUGAAGAAAUGAUCAUAAAUGUUCUUCCUUGAGCUGCGGCACCCCGCUGUAGUCCGGCUGCUGGAAGAGAGUAGGUGAGUUGUGUUUAGUCUCUUUGCUAAAGAAAUGAGUCAAAGUUAAAAAGAUGUUUGGUGUCUAGUACUAUUUCUGUGACCCUAUAUGUCCUGUUGAUGAAGUUAGGUGCUGUUCUGAGCAUUAUUUGUGGCUAUAGAGUGGCGUUUUGGUUGAGGGCGUGGCUCUCUGUAUUUCUAUCCUGCGGUCGUUACUAAAGUUGGUAUAACUAGAGAAGCAAGCGGUCGGUAACAUUCAUCUCUGGGGGGGGGGGGUCUAACUCAGAGUUAUGGUGGGUUUGACCCUAAAUUAAUUUAACGCCAGAAUAUCCCUUUAAAGACAGGUGACCAUCAUGAGCUGCUCCAGGACCAGGACCAUCAGAGCACAGUGUCCUCUGGAGCUGCUGCCGGGGCGGCUUUUGAUCCUGAUAAAACACCAGGAGCAGAUAACACACACACACACACACACACACACACACACACACACACACAUACACACACACUCCACCUGCGGCGGGAAGUUAUUCAUUCAUGGUCAUAAUCAGACGAAUACCACCACUCCCUGCUCUGACCUUUGACCUUUCUCUGCAGAGGAAAUAAACUCUCAUGAAAAACUGUGAACAAAGAUUUUUACACUUUCUUAUUUUGAUUUAGUUUUUUAAUUAGGGCUGCAUUUUUAAUCAAUUUUUAAUCACGAUCAAUCUCUGAACUUUAACAGUUCAUUCUCAUGUUUUAAUUUCUUUUAUUUUCUAUUUAAAAACAGUUUUUUUAAGUGUCUCUUUUUUUAAGUGAAAUUAAAUAAAUUUAAUCAAAUGAACUUCUUGACUUCUAAAUUCAUAAAUAAACGCUGAACUGCUCCAUGACUGAGGUCUGACACCGUGGAUCCUGAACUGUGUCUGCAGGACUCUCCUCACCGUCUUCUGACAAACACAGACGUUUAUAAAUCUCAGAUCUUUGAAGUUAAUUUGAGAAAUGUUUGAAAAAUAAUAAUAUUUCAGUUUGUGGCUUAAAACAACUUUUAAAAGUGACUCUGCAUAAACAGGUGCGUCCCAAAUAUCUGCUGUGCAGGUAGACCUGAGGUCAAACCAAGGUCAUGACUCAUCAUCACCGUUUUUAAAGCUACAGUAGAAAGUUUCUUUAAAACUUUUAUUAAAUAUAUAAAAAUGUAUUUUGAUGCUCAUUUAUGAGGCACAAACGAGACCAUCAGAACAGGAGUGAUGGUUUUCAUAAUGUCAUUUCUAGAGCCUGAAUCCUUUCACAUUACAUGAUCGAUUAGACAGUAAAAUGAUUGAUUCAGGAGGACGUCUGAACGUCCGUCUGUCGUUCUUAUAAAACGAGGAUUUCUCGUUCAAACUCUUCAGAUCAGCUCCUGACUCGGUGAACUCUUCUCCCCCCACAUCAGAGUCUCCACCACCUGGCUCAGAACUUUGACCAUUACCUGUCACCUGAGGGCCACAGCAGCCUAUCAGAUGCCUCCCACCCUGAGGAGGGUCUCUGCUGAGGACACCAGUCACCUGACAGAGCUGAAAGCCAAUCAUGAGAGCCCCUCACGCAGCGGUGACGGCGGCUCGCUCUCCCUCUCACAAACAUCCUCUCACCUCUGAUCUCUGCGUAAACACACCUGAACACCCGAUACUGUUGAGUCAGGCCCUCUCCACCUUUUCAUCUCCACCUGCUCUGUUGUUUUUUUUCCUUUCCUUUUCUCUUAUUCUCUCUCUCUCUCUCUCUCUCUUUUUUUUAAUGAACGGCCUUAAGGGCCCCGGAGAGAAAAAUCACAGAGUGAGACUCCUGACAGCUCCUUUUGUGCUCUCCGACUUUUAUGGGAUAUAAACAGAGAGAGGGAGCUGGGUUUGAGCAGGUCCUCUCAACACACACACACACACACACACACACACACACACACACACAGGAUCAAACACUUCAUGUUGUGUUGUAAAACUGUGCAGAAGAGGUCAAUGAACGUCUGUUUUUUUAUGGAUGAACACCAAAACUCAAACGUGGAUUUAAGACACAGAUACACACUCACAGAGAAAGAGAGAGAGUGUGUGUGUGUGUGUGUAAGAAAGAGAGAGAGAGAGAGAGAGGGAGAGAGAGAGAGAGAGAGAGAGAGAGAGGUGAAGUCUCUGCAAGUCUAUCUGGAGCUGCUAAAUUUAAACCUGUCCUCUAAGUGGGUCUCAGCUUUUUAUGUCUGUCACAGCUUUGUGUCAAGCACAAACACACACACACACACACACACACACACGAGAACAGGGUCCAUUGGUGUGUUAAUGAUUAGGAGACGGAGCCAUUUGCUGCUGAUGGGAAUGUGGGCAGUGGUUCCUAAGUGCUUGUAUCUGGGUCAGAGGGCCAAGGCUGCCGGGUUCUUCUCCGCUCAGACAGAGGAUGCUAACGCCACGAACAGACGGGCCUUUCUCUGACCUUUUAGUCCGGUUUGGACCGGAUCUGUCUUCACUUAACCAACACUCAGGUUAGCACGCAUAUUCAGAAUAUUUAAUCCAACAGCUUCCUCUAAUAAAUCAUGACUCCUACUAUCCGAGCAGUUCUUACUGGUUUGGCCAAAAUGUAGUAUCCAGUACUCAGUAGGUGAACAAAUUGAAAUUUGCAGUUUGCCAAAAAUACCGGGAUGAUGUGCUGAUUCGGGAAAAUUCCACAGAAUGCAUCGGACCAGUCUGCUUCACCUACUGUUACCCACAAUGCAAAGCGCCUGGGCAGACUCAAAUUUUCCCACUUCUCCUCGUCCUUUAUUCUGUACGGUACGCCUGAUGUUGACCACUCACAGCGCACGCCAUCAGCCAUGUUUCCAGGCAGCUGACAUUAGAGGGGUCUAAAGCUUUAAUGCAGAAAGGAGAGUAAACGCUAAAACAGUCAGACUGACAGGAGACAGGAGUUUGGACCAGAGGGUUUUUACUGUCAAACUAUCAAAUGGACAAAGGGAGAUAACGGCAAAACCCACAGAAUCCGUCCAGCUCUGCUGCGGAUUGGUUCUGGCGGCCGGAUCAGAUACGCAAGGUUUCUAUUUUUGCCGGACGCCGGAGCACGACGCAUCAAUUCAGUGCAGCACGAGGAGCAGCGGGAGUUUUAUGCAGUUACAGAGUAAAAUAUCGGGUUAAUUUUCAAAAUAAAAUAAAGUCAAUAAGUUUUACUGUUCUUAGGCUGAUAGUCUAGUCCAGUCUCGUGAGAAAUAACGGUAACCCCCGCGAGCGGUUCUCCUCCGAUGGCGGCGGCGGAUUACACUUGUGGAUCUGAUCUGCCUACCUGUCCGGAGCGGAGCGAAGCCGUUCCGGAUCCUGUGGGUUUAGCUAGUAAGACCACGCCACGCAGACGCCAUGAGUUAAUACGUUUAGCGAGGACUGAAACUUCUUUCAUUUAAGCGGGAAACAAGGACAACAUAACUGACAACAGAACUUUGCUGUAUUUACAGCGCCGUGAUGAGGACAGAAUGACACCAGAUCAUUGACGAGUCAUUGCAGAGACAGAACAUGUUUUGAUGGUAUCGGACUAAAAAAUCCAGAAAUAAUGAAAUUAAAACACAGAAAAUAUUUUUUUCAGUGUGUAAAUAAACGAACAUCAGCUAAACCGGGCCGACCGUACUACAGAAUAACAGCUGACUUACAGUCAUACUGUGUACUACUAUCAAACACAGUACUCAGUAUGCAGGAGUACGCAGUAGUCCUAAACCAGCC